UGCCCUGCAGUCAAGAAACAAUACCACAUUUAUAAUCUGUUAAGCUGUACUGCUUAUCCAGCUACAAGACACAUCUUGAGCAAAUGGUUUUUAAUGAUCUAGAAGCAUGACUGCCAAAUGUCUUUACGUUUGGUUGUCACAGUUUCUCUGGACUUUGAGGGAGUCUAAUUUGCGUGGUGUUUUGUACCAAACAAGGUUAGAGAAGAUGAAUGUUAGUUCAACAUUCCUUAUUCUUGUAUCAUCUAAAUUAGUGAGGUUUGCUUUCUGGGCACCUGAAAGGAGGCAGAUAAAGCCUGAAACCUGCUCGGACAACGUUUUGUUUUAAAUGCAGAACAUGAGAGAACUUAAUGCAGACUAUUCUGAUUUUGUCAGCUGUGUUAAAGAGUCUAAAAAAAUACAUGUUACACUCAGUACUAUUGACAUCUGUGGGCCUUGAAUAACAAUUUUCCACAAGCUGACUCAGAUAAACUCCUACAACACUAGGUGAGAGAGCCAGUUCUUAUCCAGAGUCAGAACACCGUGGGUGGGAGAAAAGAGCACUUUUUUACCCUUACUAUUUCCUAAAAUAAAACUUGGUGAAAUUUAAGGGGAUGAAAAGCCCUAAAAUAGUAGCAGCAAAGCAGUUAGAUGCAUCAUUGCCUUCUACUCUCUACCCCAUUUAGGUGCAUCUCCCAGAGAAGCAAAUUUUCAGGUGCAUGAGAAGAAUGUCUGAGAAGAAUUAGAAGAUGUAUGAGUGGAAAGGAAUGACUCCAGAAGAUUGAGAAAAGUGACACAAUCGUACUGAGUUAGAUACAGUAGCAAAGUACGUAGUAUCUUCAAAUCCUGGACUAAAGAUUUUGUCUUAGCUCCAAGUUGGUGCCAAAGAGGAUCUAAGUAGUGACGUAUUGUCUAGAAAUAUAAAUUAGAAAGUUCAGGAUGGCAAAUAUUUAAUAUACUAACCAAGGUAAGAAUGCAGUUCUUUUUCUCCUUUACAGGGGAUGCCAAUGGUUUCCCAGUUAUUAAACUUACCCAACUGAAGAUGUGAUGGUGAAGUACUUGUUUUGAUAAGCAAUCAUAUCUUUGCAAAGUUAACAUAAUAUAGAUGCCUUUAUGUAAGAUAUUUCAUCAAUUAGCAAAUGUAUAUAAUUUAAUAUUUUCCUUUCCAUAUCAUAAUAAAAUACUGGUAAAAUAACAAAAAACCCCAAACAUUUUACUGGUACUGGUCUUUACUGGUACUAGAUACUUUAGUAUAUAAUAUCCUUCACUUAAAUAAAAAAAUAUAAUGUCAUUUAAUUUUCAAGGUAAGAUGAGUACUACACAGAUACACAACCUACAUUGCAUAAGAAAAAAACCUCCAGAUAUUUGAAGUACAGGAGGCCCUAGGUCAAGAUUAAAUCACAGAUAACACAUAACCAUGUUUCUGUGUAACUGUGAUGGUUGAAGUUUAUAAUUUUACCCUACAGAAAGCAUACACAUGUGCCAAACAUCACAGAUCUGCCAAAGAUAGCAAUGCACACACAUUUAAUGACAUACAGAAUAUGUGCAUAUUAAGUAUUACAUACAGUGCUUCUCCUACUAGA